rnacentral:rRNA from 1 species
GGUUAAGCGACUAAGCGUACACGGUGGAUGCCCUGGCAGUCAGAGGCGAUGAAGGACGUGCUAAUCUGCGAAAAGCGUCGGUAAGGUGAUAUGAACCGUUAUAGCCGGCGAUGUCCGAAUGGGGAAACCCAGUGCAAUUCGUUGCACUAUCGUUAACUGAAUACAUAGGUUAACGAGGCGAACCGGGGGAACUGAAACAUCUAAGUACCCCGAGGAAAAGAAAUCAACCGAGAUUCCCCCAGUAGCGGCGAGCGAACGGGGAGCAGCCCGGAGUCUGAAUCAGCUUGUGUGUUAGUGGAAGCGUCUGGAAAGUCGCAGGGUACAGGGUGAUACUCCCGUACACUAAAACACACAGGUUGUGAACUCGAAGAGUAGGGCGGGACACGUGGUAUCCUGUCUGAAUAUGGGGGGACCAUCCUCCAAGGCUAAAUACUCCUGACUGACCGAUAGUGAACCAGUACCGUGAGGGAAAGGCGAAAAGAACCCCGGCGAGGGGAGUGAAAAAGAACCUGAAACCGUGUACGUACAAGCAGUAGGAGCCCACUAGUUGGGUGACUGCGUACCUUUUGUAUAAUGGGUCAGCGACUUAUAUUCUGUAGCAAGGUUAACCGUAUAGGGGAGCCGCAGGGAAACCGAGUCUUAACUGGGCGUUAAGUUGCAGGGUAUAGACCCGAAACCCGGUGAUCUAGCCAUGGGCAGGUUGAAGGUUGGGUAACACUAACUGGAGGACCGAACCGACUAAUGUUGAAAAAUUAGCGGAUGACUUGUGGCUGGGGGUGAAAGGCCAAUCAAACCGGGAGAUAGCUGGUUCUCCCCGAAAGCUAUUUAGGUAGCGCCUCGUGAAUUCAUCUUCGGGGGUAGAGCACUGUUUCGGCUAGGGGGUCAUCCCGACUUACCAACCCGAUGCAAACUACGAAUACCGAAGAAUGUUAUCACGGGAGACACACGGCGGGUGCUAACGUCCGUCGUGAAGAGGGAAACAACCCAGACCGCCAGCUAAGGUCCCAAAGUCAUGGUUAAGUGGGAAACGAUGUGGGAAGGCCCAGACAGCCAGGAUGUUGGCUUAGAAGCAGCCAUCAUUUAAAGAAAGCGUAAUAGCUCACUGGUCGAGUCGGCCUGCGCGGAAGAUGUAACGGGGCUAAACCAUGCACCGAAGCUGCGGCAGCGACGCUUAUGCGUUGUUGGGUAGGGGAGCGUUCUGUAAGCCGUUGAAGGUGGCCUGUGAGGGUUGCUGGAGGUAUCAGAAGUGCGAAUGCUGACAUAAGUAACGAUAAUGCGGGUGAAAAACCCGCACGCCGGAAGACCAAGGGUUCCUGUCCAACGUUAAUCGGGGCAGGGUGAGUCGACCCCUAAGGCGAGGCCGAAAGGCGUAGUCGAUGGGAAACAGGUUAAUAUUCCUGUACUCGGUGUUACUGCGAAGGGGGGACGGAGAAGGCUAUGUUGGCCGGGCGACGGUUGUCCCGGUUUAAGCAUGUAGGCGGAUGUUCCAGGUAAAUCCGGAACGUUAUUAACGCUGAGGUGUGAUGACGAGGCACUACGGUGCUGAAGUGACAAAUGCCCUGCUUCCAGGAAAAGCCUCUAAGCAUCAGGUAACAUCAAAUCGUACCCCAAACCGACACAGGUGGUCAGGUAGAGAAUACCAAGGCGCUUGAGAGAACUCGGGUGAAGGAACUAGGCAAAAUGGUGCCGUAACUUCGGGAGAAGGCACGCUGAUGGUAGGUGAAGUGACUUGCUCAUGGAGCUGAAAUCAGUCGAAGAUACCAGCUGGCUGCAACUGUUUAUUAAAAACACAGCACUGUGCAAACACGAAAGUGGACGUAUACGGUGUGACGCCUGCCCGGUGCCGGAAGGUUAAUUGAUGGGGUUAUCCGUAAGGAGAAGCUCUUGAUCGAAGCCCCGGUAAACGGCGGCCGUAACUAUAACGGUCCUAAGGUAGCGAAAUUCCUUGUCGGGUAAGUUCCGACCUGCACGAAUGGCGUAAUGAUGGCCAGGCUGUCUCCACCCGAGACUCAGUGAAAUUGAACUCGCUGUGAAGAUGCAGUGUACCCGCGGCAAGACGGAAAGACCCCGUGAACCUUUACUAUAGCUUGACACUGAACACUGGUCCUUGAUGUGUAGGAUAGGUGGGAGGCUUUGAAGUGUGGACGCCAGUCUGCAUGGAGCCAUCCUUGAAAUACCACCCUUUAAUGGCUGGUGUUCUAACGUGGGCCCCUAAUCGGGGUUGCGGACAGUGUCUGGUGGGUAGUUUGACUGGGGCGGUCUCCUCCUAAAGAGUAACGGAGGAGCACGAAGGUCAGCUAAUCCUGGUCGGACAUCAGGAGGUUAGUGCAAUGGCAUAAGCUGGCUUGACUGCGAGCGUGACGGCGCGAGCAGGUGCGAAAGCAGGUCAUAGUGAUCCGGUGGUUCUGAAUGGAAGGGCCAUCGCUCAACGGAUAAAAGGUACUCCGGGGAUAACAGGCUGAUACCGCCCAAGAGUUCAUAUCGACGGCGGUGUUUGGCACCUCGAUGUCGGCUCAUCACAUCCUGGGGCUGAAGUAGGUCCCAAGGGUAUGGCUGUUCGCCAUUUAAAGUGGUACGCGAGCUGGGUUUAGAACGUCGUGAGACAGUUCGGUCCCUAUCUGCCGUGGGCGCUGGAGAAUUGAGGGGGGCUGCUCCUAGUACGAGAGGACCGGAGUGGACGCAUCACUGGUGUUCGGGUUGUCAUGCCAAUGGCAUUGCCCGGUAGCUAAAUGCGGAAGAGAUAAGUGCUGAAAGCAUCUAAGCACGAAACUUGCCCCGAGAUGAGUUCUCCCUGACUCCUUGAGAGUCCUGAAGGAACGUUGAAGACGACGACGUUGAUAGGCCGGGUGUGUAAGCGCAGCGAUGCGUUGAGCUAACCGGUACUAAUGAACCGUGAGGCUUAACCUU